UGGGUUAUCUUCACCGACCAAAAAGAGAGAGACCUAGAUGGCUGAAACACCUACGCAUUAUAAUAGAAAUGGGCUCAGUGCAAUUUUAGGGAACCAGUAUAAUUAGGGCAAACCAAAAAAUUUGGGGAAAUCUGAUAUUCAGCCAGAUCUAUAGCCAAAUCAACACAAAUGUAAGGAAAUAUGAGCAUGUGAGCAUUGUCGUGUACAACCUAACUUCCAAAACAAAACACAGAGGAACAUAUGGAGUUUUACCAGCCACACACCUGACUUGAAGAGGACGAUGAGGCAGAAAUGUCGUCGAAUCACCCGGAGUUAGUACGACACAAAUCGGCGACCUACUCUUUCGUCUCUCUUUUCUCUCUUCUCGGUAAAGUGGGGAAGAAAUGGACG
rnacentral:lncRNA from 1 species